rnacentral:ncRNA from 1 species
AAGUUAAUAAAAGCGCCUGGGCUAUUUUCCGCACGGAGGAAAAUAGUUGACGAGGAGGAGGUUUAUCGAGCAGUUCGGCGGAUGCCUCCCGGUUGCACACAUCUCAACCGUCAUGUUUUUGCUUCCGAAACCAAAGAGGCGACUCUUUGUACAAGGAGAAAAACAAGAUGAUAC